rnacentral:rRNA from 2 species
CGAGCGGUAGAGAUUCUUCGGAAUCUUGAGAGCGGCGCACGGGUGCGGAACACGUGUGCAACCUGCCUUUAUCAGGGGAAUAGCCUUUCSAAAGGAAGAUUAAUGCCCCAUAWUAUAUUUUCUGGCAUCAGAAGAUAUUGAAAACUCCGGUGGAUAAAGAUGGGCACGCGCAGGAUUAGAUAGUUGGUAGGGUAACGGCCUACCAAGUCAACGAUCCUUAGGGGGCCUGAGAGGGUGAUCCCCCACACUGGUACUGAGACACGGACCAGACUCCUACGGGAGGCAGCAGUGAGGAAUAUUGGACAAUGGGUGAGAGCCUGAUCCAGCCAUCCCGCGUGAAGGACGACGGCCCUAUGGGUUGUAAACUUCUUUUGUACAGGGAUAAACCUUUCCACGUGUGGGAAGCUGAAGGUACUGUACGAAUAAGCACCGGCUAACUCCGUGCCAGCAGCCGCGGUU